AUGGCGAAUGUUCAAGCCAGGAUUCUUCAUCUGGAUCUCUCUAUCAUCAUUAUUUUCCUGAUUCAUGCAGAUUAUUCAAUAUCCAAUCAAGAGCCAAUGAUUAAGCAGCACAUCAACAAAACAGUGUUUGCGGGGGAAACAGUUACACUUCACUGCAACAAAACCAAAUAUGAUGAUGAUUUCACAUGGAAAAUGAACAGCUUCGUUAUUUUUAGGCAUGACUCUGAAAGUAACAGAACAAUGAGAAACUUCAGCUCAGACAGGAUUCACAUCGACCCAGCAGCUCCAAGAGAGUUAACAAUACAACAAAUACAAGCGUCAGGAAACUACAGCUGUUACCCAGCAGCAAUAAGAUGGACAUUAACAAUAACAGUAAACACAACCAGACCAGAAUCCCUCAAACAAAUGCCGCUGUACAUCAUCAUCAUCAUCAUCAUCAUCAUAUUCAUCUGUCUGAUCAUCACCAUCAGCAUCUGCAUUCACAGGUCAGUCAUUAUUGUUUGUAUUUUUAAGGUUGAUUUUAAAGAUGAAUAUCCUUCCCAAGUAACCAAAUAUCACUACAUUUGUAUAUACACUGUAUAUCUUUUCAUGGUGAAAUGUGUUUUUAUUGAACACGUUUUAUAAUGCCAUCAUAAUUUGUAUCCAUUACUUUUCAAAAUCCUUUUCUGCAUAUGUUUUAACACCUUUUCCGGUAACACUAUUUUUAUGGUCCCCUUUGAACAUUCUGUUGACGAUAAGUAACGUUGCACCAGUAUGUUAACUCUCAUUAGACUGUCUGCUUAAUAUCUGUUAACUCUUUAUUAUGAUGUCUCCCAACAGACAUUCUUCAUGUUACUUCACAUGUACAUGUCAACUUAUUCUACUAACCCUAACCCUAGCAGUCUACUAAUACUCUACUAAUACUCUAAUAACAGUUAGUACAUGUCAGUUCAACAUUACGUACAGUCAACAGAAUUUGUUAAAGUGAAUAUUUUCCUUAUACCAGACUUUUGAUCUUGAAAUAUGAAAAUCCUUGAUAAAAAUAAGAAUAACAUUUUUAUCUUAACCCCUUAAAGCUGCAGUAGGUAACUUUUGUAAAAAAGUUUUUUUUUUUUUACAUAUUUAUUAAACCUGUCAUUAUGUCCUGACAGUAGAAUAUGAGACAGAUAAUCUGUGGAAAAAAAUCAAGCUCCUCUGGCUCCUCCCAGUGUCAUAUUGCCAUUUGCAGAAAUUCCAUUGCUCCCGGUAAAAAACAACCAAUCAGAGCUGCGGUCCGUAACUUUGUUUGUGUUCAAAAUGUAGAAAAAUGUAUAUAAUAAGCGAGUACACCAUGAAUCCAUUUUCCAAACCGUGUUUUUGGUUUGUCCUGAAUCACUAGGGUGCACCUAUAAUAAGUGUUUAUAUUGGGACUAUUUUAGAUUGCUUCUGGGGUACCGCGGCGGAGUAACCCAGAACCUUUGUGAUUCUUCAUAGACAUAAACAGAGAAGUAGUUCCGGCUACGAUGUUCUUCCGCAAGACGCAAGCAGUUCUGUUUGUUAACCGCUAGAGCGUUAAAAGUUACCGACUGCAGAUUUAAUUGUCACUCACGUUUUUGAAGAUAGACUUUAAUGUGCAUGAUACAAACCUACAUUUUUAUAAUUCAUGACUGAAAACAUUUUGUAACAUGAUUUUGAUGUAUCAUUUACAUGGUAAUGCAAUGUCUGAUUUUAAAAUGGGUUUUAAAGGAUGAAUUUUGAGAUUUUAUGUUUUCAAGUGAUAUAUAACUUCUGAUGAUUUCUAAAAUGUGAUAGAGAAAAAGGCAACGAGGAAGUCUUUUUUAAACAAAGGUCAAAACUCCUUUUGUAAUGUAGAUUUAUGAGGGUGCACUCUUGUCAUAAAUUCAUCUAUUACAUUUCCUACAUAAUUUUUUACAAAAAAUAUUGGUAAAAUAUAUAUUUGGGAGUCUUAGACCUUUCCAACGAUAUAUAGUUUGUCAAGAUUAGAUUAGAUUAGAAAUCUAGUAUAGCCAACGUAGGCGUUCUGGAUUUGGGACGGGGUGACAGUUAACAGGUUAAUCUAAGGAAAUAUAUAUUUAUAUAUAUAUAUAUAUAUAUAUAUAUAUAUAUAUA
ensembl:lncRNA